rnacentral:rRNA from 1 species
AGGAUAAUUUACAACCCUUACCGAAAAGCAAUUGGAGGGCAAGUCUGGUGCCAGCAGCCGCGGUAAUUCCAGCUCCAAUAGCGUACGUUAAAGUUGCUGCAGUUAAAAAAGCUCGUAGUUGAACGUUCGGGUUCCGCGGGACGGGGCCGCCCCGCGAGGGACGGCGCCGCCCCGGGGCUCGUGAUAUCUCAUCUCGCCGCCCGUCGCGAGGCGGACGGAGGGAUGGAUGAGGUUACCUGGAAAAAAUCGGGGCGAUCUAGGCGGGCGAACCUCGCCAACGAACGAUCGGACAUGGGAUAACGGAAGAGGGCGUCGGCUCGACUUCGUCGGUUCCUCGGGCCGAGGCACGUACGGUGAAUAGGGACGGUCGGGGCCGCCCGUACCGGGUCGUGAGAGGUGAAAUUCUAGGAUCGACCCGAGACGAACCGCCGCGAAAGCAUUCGGCAAGGACGCUUUCAUUAAUCAAGAACGAAAGUCGGGGGAUCGAAGACGAUCAGAUACCGUCGUAGUCCCGACCGUAAACGAUGCCGAC